UCUGUACGCGUUUCGAAUCGUUGUACGUAGCUUGACCGGCGUAAUCACGCUUCCGGUGUUGCAUCGUGACACGGUCGUUGGUCUUACCACUUUGAGAAUCGUGUUCUCGAAAUGACAGACAGUCCUGGGAUUUUCGAUAACAGAUACCAGCAGCUACAACAAGUAUUCGCACAUAGUCCUAUUUUUCCAUCAGUUUCUUAUCAGAUUCCAAUUUUCCAGUCUCAUUUUUGGAAUAUUAACUUGUUAUAGACGUAUGAAUGUACUGUCAAAUUAAUACACCUGUACAGGGUUAAUAAUUUGUUCCGUGAGAAUAAAUUUAGACGCGAAAAUUGUUGACCGAAGAACGAAGAAAAGUUCUAUAGAAUCUUGUGGAACUUCGAACAACGAGAAGAGAAAUUAAGAAGAGAGAAUCAAGUUCGUGAAAUUUCACCGUCGUCAUAUGUAGAUCAUUCAAGUUGGGAGAUGGCUCUCAGGAAAUUUUAAGUUCCUACGAUGAGAUUGUUCCUACUAACUCGCCAGUAGUUUUUUAUAUGAUCAAGAUAAUAGCGAGAUGAUCCGUGUUUAAGUUCUGGAACAACUUCCACCUAAGAUAAACCAGUUUUGAAAGAAGAACAAAUAUCUCAUGAGAGCUGGUAAAUACACAGAGGAGAGGAGAAGCGUAAGAGAUUUUUCACUCGGAAAGUAUUCGAGUAAUCAACGAAAAAGCAUCUGUCGCGUGGAGGGUGGAAAUUCUAUUUGAGAAUAAUUGACAUUUCUGCUAGAGCGUGGCAAUAGCGACGCGAAGGAUGAAGUUUUGUACCUCGUCUCUCGCGCUAAGUGUUUCUGUUUGACGAUAUCGCGCGGAAAGUGCGAGCGUUAUAGCACUCGCAAAGUGCACGUCUCUGUCUUUGAAGUUUCACCGGGGUUGCAAUCUAAUAUUAAUGCACGCUCUAUAAUUAUUAAUCGACGAGACGUGCAACGAAGGAACAGAGCCCUCUGCAACUAGUUCGUAAUUACCGUGAGCGCGUUUCCCAAUUAAGUAAUCCAACGUAAUGUCGAUUAUUAUGAGAUUCGACUUUUCGCGCGGACAUAAUUGUCUUUCCGAGUAACCGUGGUAAUUUCGUCGUAAUUAAUUGCGGACCAUUUCAUUCGUUUACGCUAUCCCGUUGAAAUAAAUAAACUCGCGGAUGUAUAUAAUUUAUUUUUUUUGAAAUAUCGAACGCUAAUUAUACAUUUAAAUAAUGAGAAUUCUGUUGAAACAGAAAGCGGAAUCGAAAAAUGUUCACGAUAAUAACUUCUUUUAUAUUCAAUUCCAUGAUUAAACUACAAUUCUACCAAAGCUAAGCAAGUAAACUACCUAUCUAUCUACUGACUAACAAUGACCAUUUUUAAAUCUUAUUUACGAGCAAGAUAUUUAUCAUGUAGCGUAAAGUUGCACUCCGUAAAAUUCUAUUUAAAAUCCAAUUAUGCCUCCCCCGCAAAACUUUUAAUCGCAAGCUCUAAACGUUGUAUUUACUAGGCAUACGUUACUUGGCAAGCGUAAGUGGCGCUGAAAAAAAUUUCAAUUUCAAAUCGCACGCGAAGGAAACCGCUUACGACAAAGUUAAGGACGAACAAAGCGCCCACAAGCGCAUUACACAAGUUACUAUAGAAAGAUUCUCGUAGCUUACUCCUGUUACUUUCUUUAUGGUACUUCUGAAUUAUCCAGCCCUUGCAAUUUUAAUACACGAUACAUAUCAUACGCGUUACUUUCUGGAAAUUUUCUAAUCGUAAUAUUGGAAUAUGCAAAUCGUGCUUUCUGAGAAAAUUUUAAUUCUAUGAUACGAGAAUAUAUGAUUAACGUUUCACUUUAUCAAAAACCGAACGAUUAGAUACUCUCGAUGGAUUACAUUAAUUCCACUUCUACGAAGCUUAAUUACAGGCACGUACCUACAAUUACUUAUCAAACGAUCGGUAAUUAACAAUAAUUACGACUAUCUAUGCUUCUUCAUCCGUAUAAAUAUCCACCGACUAUGCUAAUAUACAACCGUCUAAUACAUUUCCUCUUAAAAAAGGAACAUGUCCCUUUAACGGAACAACUGUGUAUACGAUUCUAAUUGCUUUACAAAUUCCAAGCACAGCGAUCGCUGUGCUUGGAAAUGAGAAAAAUGCUGCUUAAUAAAUCUCAUAAGAAUAGCGUGACUCACGGUACACCAGGCGAAUCGUAUUCUUACUUCUAAACCAUUGGACACUUACCUGAAACAGAGAAAAUACAACGAGUUUAGUUAAAUAUCACAAAGGAAGGUUUAUCCGUGUACGAUCAAGUUAAUUGGCAAAUUGCGAAGAGGGUCUUGCAGACGACGGGAUUCGAGAUAAACGCGUUCAAACGGGGCAAAUAGAGAUAACCCUCGGCAAGGAGCGAUACGCGGAGACUUGUACGGCGACCCGAAAAUUGUGACGCUAUCGGGACAGAUAAUUCGCAAACAUAAUAGGACGAACACGGUCGCGCGUUGGUCAGACCCGUCGCAUGGAAAUUAGAUUCGUCCGCGCACGCGAACCCACACACAUGGUUUUCCAACCGUGCAGAAAAUCGAUAUCGACCUAUCGUAUAACAUACACGCGCGUACACACACACAUAAAAUAUUUCUCUUGCAUACUUUUCCUCUUUGGUGUUCCUGCUCCCUCGAUGCUUCUUAGCGAUGCUUUUGUGAAAUUGCGCUGCGAUCAUGUGAUUUGAAAUUACGUCAAACAUUGGUCGAAAGUCGGGAAACGAUCGACGAUCGAUUUUAUCAAUGAGGGAUCGUAUUUUACUUUGAUAUUUGUGAUUACUUAAGCCGUAUUACUGUAACAAUUGAACAUUUUUCUUUGUCUUUGAAGAUGUUCAACGCUAAUAAUCAGGCGUUACAAGUUGAUGAAAGAAUUUGGUCGCUCGUAGACAGUUUCUACGAAUAUAUUUUGAAACUUUAUCAGCUGUAUUAUGAGAGUCGGUUGUCAUGAUCAUGUUGUAUGACCAACUCCUUGUUCAUAUUGCGACACAUAUCGUAGACUCAUCCUGCAAUAAACACCGUAAUCUCUGCUUCUCGUUCCUGAAUCAUCCCGAAGUUCGAACCUUUCUUAUGGUCAUUGUCCUGAACAUAUUAAUCAUCCUCACCACUAGGCUAUGAGAACCACUUUUCCAUGACAGACCAGCAGAGAAUUCUACAAUCGGUGCUAGCGUGCAGUUACCCGUUACGAAUAAAACCUCUAACUUUCCAACGUGUGUUGUCAAAUUUCCACCAUCCGAGAUCCAACAAUCAGAUUGAUAAAGUUUGAGACAAAUCUAAAGAUAUUACAAAUAACGCAAUAACGUAAAUUCUUGGGGUAAAUCAGACGAUCAAUUUUGGAAAAUCGAGUUUAUUUUGGGAAUAAUUAAAUUAAAUAUAAUAGCAGUUAAUAAGAAAUCUACUAAAAAUUUUACGAUUUUCCAAGUCCUAAAUUACCGUUCUUCUCUCGUGAUCUAUUCUAAUCAACGAAUGACCGCCGGCAAAAGGAAACAAAAAUAAAAUAUGUCGAUUGGCGGGUAGUUUGAAUUCUACAAAAUUUACAUAUAUAUAUAGGAAUUACAAAAUAUUCGGUGCAUCGCGAAAGUAUUAAAAACAAUCAAUUAUUCGUCAUAUUAAUAAACUUCGAGAUUUUCAGCUGUGUUCUAUGGCUAUUUA